AUCAUUACAGUGUUGGCUGCCCUGCACGGGUAGCAAACCUCACCCUUGUAUAUUAUAUCUUACAUUCUGAAAAUGUCCUCUGAGAACUAUCUAAUAGUUAAAACUUUCAACAACGGAUCUCUUGGUUCUGGCAUCGAUGAAGAACGCAACUAAAUGCGAUAAGUAAUGUGAAUUGCAAAAUUCAGUGAAUCAUCAAAUCUUUGAACGCACAUUGCGCCCGGUGGCAUUCCGCCGGGCAUGCCUGUUCGAGCGUCAUUUAAACCAAUCCAGCCUCUUGCUUGGGUCUUGGGCCUUUCGCCUUCGGGCGGGCCUCAAAAUCACUGGCGGUGCCGUCUGGCUCUAAGCGUAGUAAUACUCCUCGCUAUAGACGUCCGGUGGUGGCUUGCCAACAACCCCCAAUUUUAUCAUGGUGACCUCGGAUCAAGUAGGGAUACCCGCUGAACUUGAGCAUAUCAAUAAGCGGAGGAAAGGG
rnacentral:rRNA from 1 species